rnacentral:rRNA from 1 species
GAUGAACGCCAGCUACAGGCUUAACACAUGCAAGUCGAGGGGCAGCAUGGUCUUAGCUUGCUAAGACUGAUGGCGACCGGCGCACGGGUGAGUAACACGUAUCCAACCUGCCGUCUACUCUUGGACAGCCUUCUGAAAGGAAGAUUAAUACAAGAUGGCAUCAUGAGUCCGCAUGUUCACAUGAUUAAAGGUAUUCCGGUAGACGAUGGGGAUGCGUUCCAUUAGAUAGUAGGCGGGGUAACGGCCCACCUAGUCUUCGAUGGAUAGGGGUUCCGAGAGGAAGGUCCCCCACAUUGGAACUGAGACACGGUCCAAACUCCUACGGGAGGCAGCAGUGAGGAAUAUUGGUCAAUGGGCGAGAGCCUGAACCAGCCAAGUAGCGUGAAGGAUGACUGCCCUAUGGGUUGUAAACUUCUUUUAUAAAGGAAUAAAGUCGGGUAUGCAUACCCGUUUGCAUGUACUUUAUGAAUAAGGAUCGGCUAACUCCGUGCCAGCAGCCGCGGUAAAAC